rnacentral:rRNA from 1 species
GACGAACGCUGGCGGCGUGCUUAACACAUGCAAGUCGAACGGAAAGGCCCUGCUUUUGUGGGGUGCUCGAGUGGCGAACGGGUGAGUAACACGUGAGUAACCUGCCCUUGACUUUGGGAUAACUUCAGGAAACUGGGGCUAAUACCGGAUAGGAGCUCCUGCUGCAUGGUGGGGGGUGGAAAGUUUCGGCGGUUGGGGAUGGACUCGCGGCUUAUCAGCUUGUUGGUGGGGUAGUGGCUUACCAAGGCGUUGACGGGUAGCCGGCCUGAGAGGGUGACCGGCCACAUUGGGACUGAGAUACGGCCGCGACUCCUCCGGGAGGCAGCAGUGGGGAAUAUUGCACCAUGGGCGGAGGCCUGAUGCAGCAACGCCGCGUGCGGGAUGACGGCCUUCGGGUUGUAAACCGCUUUCGCCUGUGACGAAGCGUGAGUGACGGUAAUGGGUAAAGAAGCACCGGCUAACUACGUG